rnacentral:rRNA from 1 species
UACGGAGGGUGCAAACGUUGCUCGGAAUUAUUGGGCGUAAAGCGCACGUAGGCGGACUGAUAAGUCGGAUGUGAAAGCCCUCAGCUUAACUGAGGAAGUGCAUUCGAAACUGCCAGUCUUGAGUACAGAAGAGGGUCGCGGAAUUCCCGGUGUAGAGGUGAAAUUCGUAGAUAUCGGGAGGAACACCAGUGGCGAAGGCGGCGACCUGGGCUGAUACUGACGCUGAGGUGCGAAAGCGUGGGGAGCAAACAGG